rnacentral:rRNA from 1 species
AAGUUGAAAAGCACUUUGAAAAGAGAGUGCAAGAGAACGUGAAAUCGAUAUAAUGGAAGCGAAUGAAGUCGACGUAUCUAACACGUAUUCAAUUAUAAUAUUAUUUAAUUAUAGAAUGUUUAGUAUUCCGCAAGGUUACUCAUUUUAUUUAUUUAUUAUAAUAUUAUAAUGCAUUUGCGUGUAGAGUGCGACGAGUCGGCUGAUUUAUUGUCGGUGGAAAAUGUUUUUAGAGGUCAAACAACUCUGUUGUUUGUAACCUGAAAAUAUUGAAAGCCUGAUUAAUAUUAGCCGAUUCCAUAUGGUGGAAUGUUGGCCCACGAUGAUUUAUUGGAUUAUUCAUUCGGUCUUAUAUUCUACACAUGUGUAGGGUAUUUGAUUUGGUGAAUAUUUAAUAAACUGUCACUACAUUCUUCUCGUCGUAUAGUCGGUCACUCAUUCGACCCGUCUUGAAACACGGACCAAGGAGUUUAUAGUACACGCGAGUCAUUGAGUGUUUUCAAAGCUCAUAGGCAUAAUGAAAGUGAAACUGUUUCAACAGUUCCAAUGUGAUCAUUGAAUUUUUCGAAAUUCAAUGAGCAACAUUGCCCCAUAUUUGGAGCUUGCUCUAGUGUGGAGGUUGAGCGUGUGCAAUGAGACCCGAAAGAUGGUGAACUAUGCCUGAACAGGAUGAAGCCAGAGGAAACUCUGGUGGAAGUCCGAAGCGGUUCUGACGUGCAAAUCGAUCGUCUGAUUUUGGUAUAGGGGCGAAAGACUAAUCGAACCAUCUAGUAG